rnacentral:rRNA from 1 species
GAAUUCGCCCUUAGAGUUUGAUCCUGGCUCAGAUUGAACGCUGGCGGCAGGCCUAACACAUGCAAGUCGAGCGGUAGAGAGAAGCUUGCUUCUCUUGAGAGCGGCGGACGGGUGAGUAAUGCCUAGGAAUCUGCCUGGUAGUGGGGGAUAACGUUCGGAAACGGACGCUAAUACCGCAUACGUCCUACGGGAGAAAGCAGGGGACCUUCGGGCCUUGCGCUAUCAGAUGAGCCUAGGUCGGAUUAGCUAGUUGGUGAGGUAAUGGCUCACCAAGGCGACGAUCCGUAACUGGUCUGAGAGGAUGAUCAGUCACACUGGAACUGAGACACGGUCCAGACUCCUACGGGAGGCAGCAGUGGGGAAUAUUGGACAAUGGGCGAAAGCCUGAUCCAGCCAUGCCGCGUGUGUGAAGAAGGUCUUCGGAUUGUAAAGCACUUUAAGUUGGGAGGAAGGGCAGUUGCCUAAUACGUAACUGUUUUGACGUUACCGACAGAAUAAGCACCGGCUAACUCUGUGCCAGCAGCCGCGGUAAUACAGAGGGUGCAAGCGUUAAUCGGAAUUACUGGGCGUAAAGCGCGCGUAGGUGGUUUGUUAAGUUGGAUGUGAAAUCCCCGGGCUCAACCUGGGAACUGCAUUCAAAACUGACUGACUAGAGUAUGGUAGAGGGUGGUGGAAUUUCCUGUGUAGCGGUGAAAUGCGUAGAUAUAGGAAGGAACACCAGUGGCGAAGGCGACCACCUGGACUGAUACUGACACUGAGGUGCGAAAGCGUGGGGAGCAAACAGGAUUAGAUACCCUGGUAGUCCACGCCGUAAACGAUGUCAACUAGCCGUUGGAAGCCUUGAGCUUUUAGUGGCGCAGCUAACGCAUUAAGUUGACCGCCUGGGGAGUACGGCCGCAAGGUUAAAACUCAAAUGAAUUGACGGGGGCAAGGGCGAAUUC